rnacentral:rRNA from 1 species
UAGGCGUAAAUGAUGCGAGUUAAGUGUGGGGGCAUCUACGAGAUGGCCCUGUGCUGUAGGGUAGCCGUUAAACUCGCUGCCUGGGAGUACGGUCGCAAGGCUGAAACUUAAAGGAAUUGGCGGGGGAGCACAACAACGGGUGGAGCCUGCGGUUUAAUCGGACUCAACGCCGGACAACUCACCGGGGACGACAGCAAUAUGUAGGCCAGGCUGAAGACCUUGCCUGAAUCGCUGAGAGGUGGUGCAUGGCGUCAGUGACU